AAUCUUCCACAAUGGGCGAAAGCCUGAUGGAGCAACGCCGCGUGAGUGAGGAAGGCUUUCGGGUCGUAAAGCUCUGUUGCCAGGGAAGAAUAAGGGCUAGUUAACUGCUAGUCCGAUGACGGUACCUGAGAAGAAAGCACCGGCUAACUACGUGCCAGCAGCCGCGGUAAUACGUAGGGGGCAAGCGUUGUCCGGAAUUAUUGGGCGUAAAGCGCGCGCAGGCGGUCUUUUAAGUCUGGUGUAUAAGUGCGGGGCUCAACCCCGUGAGGCACUGGAAACUGGGAGACUUGAGUGCAGAAGAGGAGAGCGGAAUUCCACGUGUAGCGGUGAAAUGCGUAGAGAUGUGGAGGAACACCAGUGGCGAAGGCGGCUCUCUGGACUGUAACUGACGCUGAGGCGCGAAAGCGUGGGGAGCAAACAGG
rnacentral:rRNA from 1 species